UCCUCUCCCUAACUUUCCCACCUCAGAAGCCUUGGUGUCAUCCUUAGCUGCACUCUCUCAUUCUCCCACAUCUCAAAUCUGUCACUAAAGUCUAGUGGUCUCAUCUUCACAACAUUGCCAAGAUCUGCCCUUUCCCCCGAUCUAAACCACUACCAAAUUAGUCCAAUCGUUCAUCCUUUCCAAACUGGAUUACUACAACAGUCUCUGUUCUGUCCGCUCAACCUUCUACCUCUCCCCACUUCAGUACAUACUUCAUUCUGCUGCCUGGAUUAUCUUUCUACAGAAAUAUUCAGGGCAAUUCCUCCACCUCCUAAAAAACUCCAGUCAUUGCUUAUGCUUAUUUCACCUCUCUUCUGUCUUUCAAAGAGUUGGAACAUAUCGAUAGGGAGAGAGUCUUUGCAAAUUGGAAUCAUUACUCCUAGACUCCUGUGGAAUAGGUUGAUAACCCACCCUGGACUCGUAUUCUGGAUCAGUCACACUCAUAUUUCAAAGGGGAAAUAGAUUUUACUGUUGUGGCUGGCUUCCUUAAAUAACGACAUUCAUGAUUCACUGACCAGAUUAAUUGGAAAGAAAAUAAUGAAAUUUAAAAUCUGCAGUUUGAGCUCUUAAUGUGUUCUAGCAGAGCUGGCAAAGAAGGGAAGCUUGGAAAUUGAAAAAUUUAAACACUAGGAAGCAUUAUGUUGAACAUUUUAAUAAUUUAAGAGCACAGUUAAUACAAAAUGGGGGAAAUUUAAUGAUGGGCUAGUUUUUUCCUUGUACCUUCCUCAACACCAACCAGAGUAUGAAAGUUUUCCUCCAUAUUCAAAGAACAUCUUUCUGAUUGCAAAAUUCACGCAUGAGUGAGUGUAGGUUAUUACUGAAAAGACUGGUGCAGAUUUGGGGUUCUCUGCAACAGUGUGCAAAGAAAGGUGAAUGCCCUCUUUCUGACAUAUUUAAUGCUUGCAGGGCCUAGUGCUUUUUCUCUUUUUUCUCCUCAUCUCUCUUUCUACCUGAAGUUUUGGCUCAAAGACAGUCAUUCGCCACUUGAUAGCUUUAUGUCAUGCUUGUGUGUCCACAGCAAUGCACUCCUAGUCCUGACAGAUAAUAUGUACUAUUGUUUGAGGCAAUGUCCUUAAAAUACUUCUUAUGUUCUCCUCACUUUUUGUUUCCUAGGCAUAGUCCUCCAGAGAGCAAUUUCGGCUUCACUCAAUCUUCGCUAUGUCCCAUUUGGGGUAGAUAUGUUGAGGCGAAUGAACCUUCAGUCCCAAGAAACAAACCUGCAUUCCCAAAUUUCAUUCUUUGUGAUCCAUCCACUGUUUAUUAAGGCCUCUACAUGAUGCUGAUAAGGAUUGGAUCCAGAGGCUAUUUAAAAAGGUUCAGGACUCUCAUUCAUACAGGAGUUUGAAUUUAUCAUCCCCUCACACCAAGUACACAACCUAUGAACCCUUUGACCAGGAGAGAACCCUUCGUGCACACACAUAUACACGCACACACAAGCAUGCACACACGAUCACACACACUGUCACGCACAUAAACAGCUAAUUAUCCAGCUAGGUUCCCCAGGUAUAUUGCAUCAAAGUCUAUUACAUCUAAGGAAUCCUGCCGCCUACAGCUUGUCCUCCUGCUAUAAGUCUUUGGUGGUUUGCCCGUUGACAAUAGUAGCAGCCCUCGGCCCGGCCUGGGAGUGGCUCUCCUCCGACAAGAAAGGACCCGAAGGGAGACCGAAGCGGGAGCAGAAACGGCCAACGGGUGCAGGAUAGAAACCACUUGCGGGAACGAUUGGUCACGUAAGUCUGUGAAUAAACCCAGGUGAGCACUCUUAAUCCUGGGUAGGGUGGAAAUAUAUGGGCUAGUUCUGUUGAGACUGCGAGAUUGAGGGUUCCAACAAGAGCACAGAGAGUUCUUAGAACUGGCUUUGUUGAGUUGAGAACUCAAGACAUCCCGGUCAAGAAACAGGAAGUCUUUUUCCAUCCAGAGACAAAUACGGUCCUUUGGGUCUGCGAAGUUGAGGGUCUGAACAAGAAACAGGGAGCUGAGGCUGGCCCUGUUGAGUGACCCACCCAAGAAACCCCGGUCGAGAAAAAAGAGUAUGGGAAAGCCCCAGUCAAAGUCGAGUGGAGGAAGCCUCCUUCCAAAGGUACAAAAAAUAGCUCAUUGAGGGCUAGGUUACAUAAUUGGGAUGAACUUCCAAAGUAUGAGAGAAAA